rnacentral:rRNA from 1 species
AACGAACGCUGGCGGCAUGCCUAACACAUGCAAGUCGAACGAAGCCUUCGGGCUUAGUGGCGCACGGGUGCGUAACGCGUGGGAAUCUGCCCCUGGGUUCGGAAUAACAGUUAGAAAUGACUGCUAAUACCGGAUGAUGUCUUCGGACCAAAGAUUUAUCGCCCAAGGAUGAGCCCGCGUAGGAUUAGGUAGUUGGUGGGGUAAUGGCCCACCAAGCCGACGAUCCUUAGCUGGUCUGAGAGGAUGAUCAGCCACACUGGGACUGAGACACGGACCAGACUCCUACGGGAGGCAGCAGUGGGGAAUAUUGGAAAAUGGGCGAAAGCCUGAUCCAGCAAUGCCGCGUGAGUGAUGAAGGCCUUAGGGUUGUAAAGCUCUUUUACCAGGGAUGAUAAUGACAGUACCUGGAGAAUAAGCUCCGGCUAACUCCGUGCCAGCCGCCGCCGUAA